UCUUCCGAUCUGUGACCUUUGCCAUCAUAGGAAUCACUCCCCAGGCACAUGGUUUUAUUGGACCUUUGCAACACAGGGCAAAGGUGGCCCAGGUUUGGUCCCCUCCCAUAGAUGGCAGGCUGAGAAUGGUGCUUCUGGUGUCAUCUGCCCAUUCAACCACAAUACAUUAUGGAUCUUAUAAAUCGAGAGUCCUGCUCUUUAGCCGUCCUCAAUAUGGUUCCUCCACAAAAGCCUGGGUUUCGUGGCUGAGUCCUUGUUGAAACUGAGUUAAUUAGCUUCCUCAGCUCUCCUCGGGUCUGUCUCUGGUAAACACUGAAGGGAAAGCCCGACAGAGGAUGGGUGUGCAACAAUCCCCAUGAAGGUUCACAG
rnacentral:lncRNA from 1 species